rnacentral:lncRNA from 1 species
GCAGCAGCCAAAAGUACAUAAUCCUGGUGCUAAGGAGGAGAGAAAGGUUGGAAGGUCUUCCUGCCUUUUGCAUAAACUUGAGAAGUUUUGGAGUGAUGUCUCUGUCCUGAAGAUGCCUCCUGAAUGGUACAAUUUCCAUGGAACAGCUGAUCUAAACAUUGCCUGGAUAAAGUUGAGAACACUUGCAGUUGGCUAUACACCUACUGGGGAUGAUGUUGCCAAAAUGAUAGUUUGCCUCUGAGAACAUCUAGGGCCUCUGAAAUCCUGCAUUCUCUGAAAAUCUUGCUUAGUAACGGCCAAAUCUUUGAUACUUUUCUCACAAACAUCUGAUAACCAGGGGAGAGUUAAAGAAAAAGCACUUCUGCAGAGCUGCGUCACUGCAGAAGAUAACGCUGAACAGAUCAGUGAACAGAGGCAGCAUACCUGUAGAAGCGAUAUCUUGGUUGCAGUGCUCUUCAUCACUCAAAGUCUUUUCAUUGUCUAAAGUCCAGCAAGAUGAUGGGGCUGAGAGAAGAACUGAAGAUGUGUUUGAUCAGAAAAAUUAUGAACAUUUCAUAGCUUAUGACGCAACUGCAAUGAUUUUCUUGGCCCCAUCCUCUAAACUGUUUCCCAUGGAAAACUUCUGCACCCUCGACUAACUCCACAAGCAGUAAGUGUAUGGCCGUGCACAAAAUCUUUACGUGUGAGAAGCUUGGCAGAAUGCAGUCUUCACCUGAAUGCAGGCCUCAGUACAGUUUUGCAGAGCAAUGCAGAACAGGAGGAGAGGAAAUGAAGCAUUUUUAUUUGUGCACAUCUAACUGAGACUUUUAUUUAUUUUUGUAAGUAGACGAGGAACGGGAGAAGCAACCUGAUUCUUACCUGCUCUGUACUAUAUUAGUGUAAUCACUGUGCUGGAAAUGACCAGUUUUCUUCUGCAGUGUUACUUCUGUAUGCAGCUGCUAUACAGGAAAAUUUGCCAAAGAACAGUGUUAAAACUUUACCAAACCUUCGACUGAAAUUUAUGUAAAAUCUACAUUGCUAUACACAUCAGUUUAUAAUAUGACUGUGUACAUUGGUGACUAAAUAAAAUAUUUUCUUGGCGGUGAUAGUGCA